GGGAAUGCCCUCGCGUGUGCCUGGAGAUUAGAGUUUGAUCCUGGCUCAGGAUGAACGCUGGCGGCGUGCUUAACACAUGCAAGUUGAACGUGAAGCCCUGUACCUAGUACGUGGGUGGAAAGUGGCGGACGGGUGAGUAACACGUUGGUGACCAACCCUGAGGAGGGGGAUAACCGUAGGAAACUUCGGCUAAUACCCCAGAUGUCUAGGUUGCUAGAAGACCUAGACUAAAGCUCCGGCGCCUCGGGACGGGCCUGCGGGCUAUCAGCUAGUUGGUGGGGUAAUGGCCUACCAAGGCUAAGACGGCUAGGGGGCGUGAGAGCGCGACCCCCCACAAUGGAACUGAGACACGGUCCAUACUCCUACGGGAGGCAGCAGUGAGGAAUAUUGCGCAAUGGGGGCAACCCUGACGCAGCAACGCCGCGUGGACGAUGAAGGCCUUCGGGUUGUAAAGUCCUUUUCUGAGGGAAGAUAAUGACGGUACCUCAGGAAUAAGUCCCGGCUAACUACGUGCCAGCCGCCGCGGUAA
rnacentral:rRNA from 1 species